AUCCGGGAUGCUAAGGCUGAGAACUGAUGACGAGUGUUCCUCGGAACAUGAAGUGCUUGAUGCCAUGCUUCCAAGAAAGGCCUCUAAGCUUCAGGUAAAAAGAGACCGUACUCUAAACCGACACAGGUGGUCAGGUAGAGAAUACCAAGGCGCUUGAGAGAACUCGGGUGAAGGAACUAGGCAAAAUGGCACCGUAACUUCGGGAGAAGGUGCGCCGGUUUUGGUGAAAGGGCUUGCCCCUCGAGCUGAGGCCGGCCGAAGAUACCAGUCCCCUGCAACUGUUUAUUAAAAACACAGCACUCUGCAAACACGUAAGUGGACGUAUAGGGUGUGACGCCUGCCCGGUGCCGGAAGGUUAAUUGAUGGGGUUAGCGUAAGCGAAGCUCUUGAUCGAAGCCCCGGUAAACGGCGGCCGUAACGAUAACGGUCCUAAGGUAGCGAAAUUCCUUGUCGGGUAAGUUCCGACCUGCACGAAUGGCGUAAUGAUGGGGGAGCUGUCUCCACCCGAGACUCAGUGAAAUUGAAAUCGCGGUUAAGAUGCCGUGUACCCGCGGCUAGACGGAAAGACCCCGUGAACCUUUACUGUAGCUUUGCACUGAACUUUGAACCUAUCUGUGUAGGAUAGGUGGGAGGCUUUGAAGUCGAGACGCUAGUUUCGAUGGAGCCGUCCUUGAAAUACCACCCUGGUAUGUUUGAGGUUCUAACCUAGGUCCGUUAUCCGGACUGGGGACAGUGUAUGGUGGGCAGUUUGACUGGGGCGGUCUCCUCCCAAAGAGUAACGGAGGAGCACGAAGGUUGGCUAAUCCUGGUCGGAAAUCAGGAGGUUAGUGUAAUGGCACAAGCCAGCUUGACUGCGAGACAGACAUGUCGAGCAGGUACGAAAGUAGGUCAUAGUGAUCCGGUGGUUCUGUAUGGAAGGGCCAUCGCUCAACGGAUAAAAGGUACUCCGGGGAUAACAGGCUGAUACCGCCCAAGAGUUCACAUCGACGGCGGUGUUUGGCACCUCGAUGUCGGCUCAUCACAUCCUGGGCUGAAGCCGGUCCCAAGGGUAUGGCUGUUCGCCAUUUAAAGUGGUACGCGAGCUGGGUUUAGAACGUCGUGAGACAGUUCGGUCCCUAUCUGCCGUAGGCGUUGGAGAUUUGAGAAGAGUUGUUCCUAGUACGAGAGGACCGGAAUGAACGCACCUCUGGUGUUCGGGUUGUCAUGCCAAUGGCAUCGCCCGGUAGCUACGUGCGGACGGGAUAACCGCUGAAAGCAUCUAAGCGGGAAGCCUCCUUCAAGAUUAGAUCUCCCUGGAACUUUAAGUUCCCUGUAGAGCCGUUGAAGACUACGACGUUGAUAGGUUGGGUGUGGAAGCGUCGCGAGGCGUUGAGCUAACCAAUACUAAUUGCUCGUGCGGCUUGACC
rnacentral:rRNA from 1 species